rnacentral:lncRNA from 1 species
AACAGCCUUGGGAAAGAGGUUGCAGUGAAAAGCUGGUCCUGCUGUGGUGGAGAGAAUGGAGGAAAGAUAAUAAAAGGCCAAACCUUUGCUCCAACUUUCUCCUUAGCUUCCCUUUGGAUCUGGAAAGCUGGGGACCCACACGGCAGAGCCAUGGUACUGGAGGAGCCAUUAACAACGAGGCUCCUUCUGUAAGGUUGCCUGGAUACUGCAUCUGGCUGACAGAGUCCCCAGACAGAACUUGAAUAGGCACUGCCAGGGUGUGUACUUCUAUGACUCUCCUUUUGCAAUGGGCCCACACCACCCACCUCAUUUUUCUAAUAAGUCUUUAAUAAAAGCUUGACUGAAGGUACCAAGGUGUGCUGAAGUGGAAGCAAAGUUCUCCAAAGUCCAGCAUGGUAGACAUCAGUGGUGGUAACCAAGGACAGACCCCAAGGCAAGGUGAACCUCAAAAAUGGAACCUCAAGUCUAUGCAGUCCAGCUGCCCUCCCCACCAGAAAGUCCUUGUUCCAGCCCAACAUCAGUGCCUCUGAGUUUGUUUACUAGAAACAAAGGAAGAAUUUCCUUGUAAAAAUAUAGACAGAGUAGUCCCUGGCUUUCUCCUCUUGCAGGAAGGAUGGAUUCUCCCAUUCCAUACCAUCUUUCCCCCACACUGGCCCCAGAAAUACUUAAUUCAACUAUGUGAAAAUAAAGAUUGUUUUUGGUUUGAGGGCAUAGGGAUCCAUUUAUCCUUAUUCUUUAUGAGGCACUAAAUUAGCUUUGUAUGUUAUUAAAUGUGUCUCGUCAAUGC